rnacentral:rRNA from 1 species
GCUCAGGAUGAACGCUAGCGGCAGGCCUAACACAUGCAAGUCGAGGGGUAACAGGAAAGCUUGCUUUCGCUGACGACCGGCGCACGGGUGCGUAACGCGUAUGCAACCUACCUCAUACUGGAGAAUAGCCCCUGGAAACGGGGAUUAAUACUCCAUAGUAUCAUUCUUUCGCAUGUUUGAAUGAUUAAAGAAUUUCGGUAUGAGAUGGGCAUGCGUCCCAUUAGCUAGUUGGUGAGGUAACGGCUCACCAAGGCUACGAUGGGUAGGGGGCCUGAGAGGGUGAUCCCCCACACUGGUACUGAGACACGGACCAGACUCCUACGGGAGGCAGCAGUGAGGAAUAUUGGUCAAUGGAGGCAACUCUGAACCAGCCAUGCCGCGUGAAGGAUGACGGCCCUAUGGGUUGUAAACUUCUUUUGAAUAGGAAGAAACUUAUCUACGUGUAGAUAACUGACGGUACUAUUAGAAUAAGGAUCGGCUAACUCCGUGCCAGCAGCCGCGGUAAUACGGAGGAUCCAAGCGUUAUCCGGAUUCAUUGGGUUUAAAGGGUCCGUAGGCGGAUCUUUAAGUCAGUGGUGAAAGCCGACAGCUUAACUGUCGAACUGCCAUUGAUACUGGAGAUCUUGAGUACAAAUGAAGUAGGCGGAAUGAGUCAUGUAGCGGUGAAAUGCAUAGAUAUGACUCAGAACACCGAUUGCGAAGGCAGCUUACUAACAUGUAACUGACGCUGAGGGACGAAAGCGUGGGGAGCGAACAGGAUUAGGUACCCUGGUAGUCCACGCCGUAAACGAUCAUCACUCGCUGUUGACGAUAUACUGUCAGCGGCCAAGCGAAAGUAUUAAGUGAUGCACCUGGGGAGUACGCCGGCAACGGUGAAACUCAAAGGAAUUGACGGGGGCCCGCACAAGCGGUGGAGCAUGUGGUUUAAUUCGAUGAUACGCGAGGAACCUUACCAGGGCUUAAAUGUAGUAUGACCGGUCUAGAAAUAGACCUUCUCUUCGGAGCAGAUUACAAGGUGCU